rnacentral:snoRNA from 1 species
GCGCUGCCUUUGAGCCCUCGUCGCGCCUGCGCGUGGCGCCGGUCGGGGGGUGGGGGGGGAGCGGGGCGGGGAUAUCAGGCUGCAGCGCCAGAGCAGCAUGCGCUUGCGCAUAACUGGGGCCGUCUGCCCCGCGGCGGCGGCUCUUUUAGCAGCGAGCUAGGCUG